rnacentral:rRNA from 1 species
UCGAACGGAGGCUUCGGCCUCAGUGGCGAACGGCGGAGUAAUACAUAAGCAACGUGCCCUGAAGACUGGGAUAGCCCGGGGAAACCCGGAGUAAUACCGGAUGUGGCUACUUCUAGGAUCUAGAAGUAAUUAAAUGGUUUUUCGCUUUAGGAGCGGCUUAUGGCCUAUCAGCUAGUUGGUGAGGUAACGGCUCACCAAGGCGACGACGGGUAGCGGGUCUGAGAGGACGAUCCGCCCGAGUGGGACUGAGACACGGCCCACACACCUACGGGUGGCAGCAGUUGGGAAUCUUGCACAAUGGGGGAAACCCUGAUGCAGCGACGCCGCGUGGAGGAUGAAGGAUCUAGGUCUGUAAACUCCUUUUGUCAGGAAAGACUUAGGACGGUACCUGACGAAUAAGCACCGGCUAACUACGUGCCAGCAGCCGCGGUAAGACGUAGGGUGCAAGCGUUG